UACAGAGGUCCCAAGCGUUGUUCGGAUUCACUGGGCGUAAAGGGUGCGCAGGUGGGUUUGCAAGUUCGAUGUGAAAGCCCCGGGCUUAACCCGGGAAUGGCAUUGGAUACUGCAGAUCUGGAGGAUCGGAGGGGGGACUGGAAUUCCUGGUGUAGCGGUGAAAUGCGCAGAUAUCAGGAGGAACACCAAUUGCGAAGGCAGCUCGCUGGGACGUGACUGACGCUGAGACGCGAAAGCGUGGGGAGCAAACAGG
rnacentral:rRNA from 1 species